GUAGCUUAGCACGAAAUGACUGUGUGUUAGACAUGUAAUUAGGAAAGUUGGCAUAAGCUCGGAAGUAUCCAUCACCACAAAUGCUUUUGGCUGGUGUAGGUGGUGCGUUGGACCGUCCAGAACCUGCAAACCGAGGAGUAGUUUGUGCAGAGGCAAACUUGCAUUGUUCGUCUGCUAGAAAGCUCCAGUUAACAUCCUGAAGAUGACGGCAAUCUGGGAUUGAUAGACGAGCUGGAAGUGGACAGGGGAGUGGUGAUGACAUAGCUUGAGAAUGCUGCUCAUCGCCAGAUUCAGACAUACAAGCAUUGUUCAUUCUACGCGACCUUGAUUUGGUCCUGAAUGUGUCAAUUUCUACAAUUUUUGGGCUUUCAUCAAAUCCAUCAUACGAUGUAUCAUUCGAAGUUGAAAGCCUCUUGCUAUGGAAUUCACUUCUAUAUUCAUCAAAUCUUUCAAUGGACCUCCUAGCUCGGGUCUCGGGUUGGUUUCUAGUGUCAUUAGUCAUUGAACGACGAGCUCUUUGAGAUCGAACAGCAGCCUGCGCUCUGAUGAGCGCCUGCAUACUGUGAAGAGUUGCAGCUGCUCUUUUUCGCACAAGGUAGCCCCUUACUAGAGCCUGCAAUUUCACCAACCCUUUGAGAGCUCUAAGAGCUUUUCU
rnacentral:misc_RNA from 1 species